UCGAAUGCAGGUGAAGCCACUGCCACAAUGC
rnacentral:piRNA from 1 species